AAAUUGAAGAGUUUGAUCAUGGCUCAGAUUGAACGCUGGCGGCAGGCCUAACACAUGCAAGUCGAACGGUAACAGRAAGCAGCUUGCUGCUUUGCUGACGAGUGGCGGACGGGUGAGUAAUGUCUGGGAAACUGCCUGAUGGAGGGGGAUAACUACUGGAAACGGUAGCUAAUACCGCAUAACGUCGCAAGACCAAAGAGGGGGACCUUCGGGCCUCUUG
rnacentral:rRNA from 1 species